UACAGAGGUCUCAAGCGUUGUUCGGAUUCAUUGGGCGUAAAGGGCGCGUAGGCUGCGGGGCAAGUCGGGUGUGAAAUCUCAGAGCUCAACUCCAGAACUGCCUUUGAUACUGGCGAUCUCGAGUCCGGGAGAGGUGAGUGGAACUGCGAGUGUAGAGGUGAAAUUCGUAGAUAUUCGCAAGAACACCGGUGGUGUAGACGGCUCACUGGACCGUAACUGACGCUGAGACACGAAAGCGUGGGUAGCAAACAGG
rnacentral:rRNA from 1 species